GGAAAGGAAGGAGGAGGGAGCCCUUUGGGUGAUAAAAUGGCGCCUAUCAGAGUGGGAAAUCCAGCUGUAGAAACUGCGGCCCCACUUCCCAGCGGCUAAGGGAUCCCUGACCUUGGGGAGGGGGAGGCCGCUCCGGUUCAUCCAUCCCCGCUUCUCGGCUCCCCCUCCCCCUCCUCCCCCACUCCCCCACUCAGCCUGCCCGUACGCCGCCACCGCGGCCCAUCGCGCGCCGCGGCCCCCGCCCGCCCCUUUUCCGCGGGCAGCCCCCUAGCGCGCCUGCGCAGCGGGCCACCCUCCGCUUCCUCCUUCCCCUCCCCCUUCUUUCUCCCUAGCCCCCUCCCCCAUUACCCCCUCCCCCAACUCUCCAUCCCCUUCCCUUCUGGUCUCGGAGGACCCCGUCCUAUCCCGAUCUACCUGGGCCCGCAAUCUCCGCGAAGCCGUCGGUGCCACUCCCUGCCCAUGUGGGCCCCUGCGGGCUGCCCACGCUUGUCCCCUAGCUCCUGGUUCCGCUGGGCUUUCCCCUCGCCAGGGGUGGCUGUCUGAGCCGCCCGCUCCGUGCCCCUCUCUGCAGCCUCUCCUGCCAUUCGGGGCCCCCGUUCCCCCUCCCGGCGGCGGGGGGCUGCCCCCGGGGGGCUGGCGGAGCUGGGCCGCGGGGGCCCCGGGGCCGGCGGUGCCGGGGUCAUCGGGAUGAUGCGGACGCAGUGUCUGCUGGGGCUGCGCACAUUCGUGGCCUUCGCCGCCAAGCUGUGGAGCUUCUUCAUUUACCUUUUGCGGAGGCAGAUCCGCACGGUGAUUCAGUACCAGACUGUUCGAUAUGAUAUCCUUCCAUUAUCUCCUGUGUCCCGGAAUCGGCUAGGCCAGGUGAAGAGGAAGAUUCUGGUGCUGGAUCUGGAUGAGACACUUAUUCACUCCCAUCAUGAUGGGGUUCUGAGGCCCACGGUACGACCUGGAACACCUCCUGACUUCAUCCUCAAGGUGGUAAUAGACAAACAUCCUGUCCGGUUUUUUGUACAUAAGAGGCCCCAUGUGGAUUUCUUCUUAGAAGUGGUAAGCCAGUGGUAUGAGCUGGUAGUGUUCACAGCAAGCAUGGAGAUUUAUGGCUCUGCUGUGGCAGAUAAACUGGACAAUAGCAGAAGCAUUCUCAAGAGAAGAUACUACAGACAGCACUGCACUUUGGAAUUGGGCAGCUACAUCAAGGACCUCUCUGUGGUCCACAGUGACCUCUCCAGCAUUGUGAUCCUGGAUAACUCCCCCGGGGCUUACAGGAGCCAUCCAGACAAUGCCAUCCCCAUCAAGUCUUGGUUCAGUGACCCCAGCGACACCGCCCUUCUUAACCUGCUUCCCAUGCUGGAUGCCCUCAGGUUCACCGCUGAUGUUCGCUCUGUGCUGAGCCGAAACCUUCACCAACAUAGGCUCUGGUGACAGCUGCUCCCCCUCCACCUGAGUUGGGGUGGGGGGGAAAGGGAGGGCGUGCCUCAGGAUGCCUGUCUGAUGCUCUGUCCAAUGCUGCCCCAGGUCCUUCUCUGGGGUUUUGGGAAGUUGAGGGGAGAGACUGCUCUUGGUAGGGGGGAUAGGUGGUGAUGGCUUUGCAAGGAUGGAGUAGUGAAUGACCACAUUGGAUGUUUCUGACAGGAUGGGCAUCCUGGCUGGGAGGGAAAGGACAACUGUAUGGCCUGAGGGAACUUGAAGUUUUCAGAGCCAUAGGACACAGAUAUAUGAAAGGAGGAGAAACCUAGAUGCUAGAAAAGGCAUACAGCUGGAAAGAAGCCAGUUAGGGGGGCUGACUAGACAAGCUAAACGGGCUAUUCCGCCAGGCACCCAGUGCCCCCAGCCUUACUCUUCCUGGGUUGCUAGCCUCCAGCUCCCGCUCCUGCAGCUGCAGGUUCCACCCCUCAGGGUCCUCCUCCCAGAAGCCGGCUCUACUUCCUUAGCAGCCGCCACGUGAUGCUCCGCCCUUUCAGAUCACAUGAUUCUGUUGCUAUAAGUGCUGGAAGUGUUCCUCCGCGUUGAUGUAGUCCCCACCUUUCGGACCUACCCGCCAAUCCCUAUUGGUUCACUCUACUGAAACCUAAGCUUUCUGUGCGUCUGUCCAAACUUGUAUUUAGUUUCUGCCCUAUAUUUCCGAACCACCUUCUCCAUUUGGGUACUACUAUGUUUUGGUGUCAACGGCCGUCUUGAGCUUAUCAGCACGGCCGAUAGCUGCCCUUGUAAUAGUUAUUCAGCUAUUCGUGAGUAGCUGCCCUUGUAAUUAUUUUAGCUUUUCCUUUACCUUAUGUACAAAAAGAAAUUGUGGCGAGCUGAAUCUCAAGUUAUGAUUACUAUCUCCUAGCUGCUUUUUAUCCCUACCUUUGUGGGGGAAGGUUAGGAAAUGGGUUUUCAAUUAUUUUCCACGGUAGAAACACCAACUACCCUUGCUACGUCGCCGGCUUAGCCCACAAAUAGAUUCCAAAGUGAUUACGCUGAUGGUGGUGGGGGGAGGUGUCGGUAGGUGGUGGAAAGUUAGCAGCGUUAGAGCUGCUACGCCAGUAGCGUAACUACCAAGCAAGACGGCCCUUGAUGGGCGGGGGCGGGGUUGGCGAAUAGGGAAGUGGCGCAAGUGCUGAGAUCCCUCCGCUGAAUCCGCCUGCGCCUUCGCCACCGUCGUCGCUGCCACCGCCCCCUGUCCCGGCCUCCCCCCCUCCCCCCUGGUUCCCUCAGUCCAGUCCGGUCCAGCCCGGUUCCCGGGAGGAUGAAGUUCGUGUA